ACCAUUCUUUCCUUGGGGUUGCGCUACUGUCCAAUGAGUGCGUGGUGAGGGCACUACUGCUAACACCUACACAACACACCUACAUCAACUACACUUUGCUUUACUUUGGUGCAAUUUUUGGAAAA
ensembl:snRNA